rnacentral:rRNA from 1 species
UACGGAGGGUGCAAGCGUUAUCCGGAUUCACUGGGUUUAAAGGGUGCGUAGGUGGCCAACUAAGUCAGACGUGAAAUCCCUCGGCUUAACCGGGGAACUGCGUCUGAUACUGGAUGGCUUGAGUUCGGGAGAGGGAUGCGGAAUUCCAGGUGUAGCGGUGAAAUGCGUAGAUAUCUGGAGGAACACCGGUGGCGAAGGCGGCAUCCUGGACCGACACUGACGCUGAGGAGCGAAAGCCAGGGGAGCAAACGGG